rnacentral:rRNA from 1 species
UCCUGCCGGAGGCUACCGCUAUUGGAGUUCGAUUAAGCCAUGCGAGUCGAGAGUCUUAGGGACUCGGCGUACCGCUCAGUAACACGUGGGUAACCUGCCCUAUGCUGGGGAAUAACCUCGGGAAACUGAGAAUAAUGCCCCAUAGUUCACUACGCCUGGAACGGUGAGUGGAUGAAAGCUCCGGCGGCAUAGGAUGGGCCUGCGGCGUAUCAGGUCGUAGGGGGUGUAACGUACCCUCUAGCCAUCGACGCGUACGGGUGUUGGGAGACAUAGCCCGGAGAUGGAUUCUGAGACACGAAUCCAGACCCUACGGGGUGCAGCAGGCGCGAAAACUUGGCAAUGCGAGAAAUCGUGACCAGGGAACUCCAAGUGGCUGGGGUAAGACCCAGUCUUUUCUUGACUCUUCAAAGGUCUUGGAAUAAGAGGUGGGUAAGGACGGUGCCAGCCGCCGCGGUAAUACCGGCGCCUCAAGUGGUAGUCGAUUUUAUUGGGCCUAAAACGUCCGUAGCCUGUUUGGUACAUUCGUGGGUAAAUCAACCAGCUCAACUGGUUGAAUUCUGCGAGCACGGCCAGACUUGGGACCGGGAGAGGUGUGGGGUACGCUCAGGGUAGGGGUAAAAUCCUGUCAUCCUGAGCGGACCACCUGUUGCGAAGGCGCCACACUAGAACGGAUCCGACGGUCAGGGACGAAGCCUAGGGGCACGAACCGGAUUAGAUACCCGGGUAGUCCUAGGUGUAAACGCUGUGGACUUGGUGUUGGGGAUUCUCCGAGGAUUCUCAGUGCCGAAGCGAAAGUGAUAAGUCCACUGCCUGGGGAG